GACGAACGCUGGCGGCGUGCUUAACACAUGCAAGUCGAACGGAAAGGCCCUGCUUUUGUGGGGUGCUCGAGUGGCGAACGGGUGAGUAACACGUGAGUAACCUGCCCUUGACUUUGGGAUACCUCAGGAAACUGGGGGUAAUACCGGGAAGGAGCUUCUGCUUGCUGGGUGGGGGUGGGAAGGUUCGGCGGUUGGGGAUGGACUCGCGGCUUAUCAGCUUGUUGGGCGGGUAGUGGCUUACCAAGGCUUUGACGGGUAGCCGGCCUGAGAGGGGGACCGGCCACAUUGGGACUGAGAUACGGCCCAGACUCCUACGGGAGGCAGCAGUGGGGAAUAUUGCACAAUGGGCGGAAGCCUGAUGCAGCAACGCCGCGUGCGGGAUGACGGCCUUCGGGUUGUAAACCGCUUUCGCCUGUGACGAAGCGUGAGUGACGGUAAUGGGUAAAGAAGCACCGGCUAACUACGUG
rnacentral:rRNA from 1 species